GAGACGUGGAGGAGAGAUAAAAUGGAGGCAGGAGAAGAGAGAAGGAAGGGACGGGCCCGAGCCUGUCAUUGGUCUGAAGGGAACAACUGGCUAUGGUGGUGGCAGCAAGGAAGGGCCCAGUCAACCACUGCUGCUGUUUGGGGCUACUAAGGCCAUUUGGCGGAGGGAGGCAGGCAGGCAGGCAGGCAAGGGACAGGCCUGGGCCGAUCACUGGCAUGAGAUGAAUGAGCGGCCGUGGUGGCAGCAGCAAGGAAGGGCCCAGUCUACUGCUGCUCCUGUGGGGAAGAGCAGGAGUGGGGCUCAGGAGUUUAGUAGGAAGUGUGAGGUGGAGCCUGGAACAAGCCCCUGUGAUCACAAAGAGCCUGGUGGAGAAGAGAAGAGCACAAGCAAGCAGUGAUGGCCCAAAACAAUUGGCCAUUCACGGCAAGACUACCUGGGCCAGGACCUGACACCACCGCUCCUCUCUUCUCUUCUGCCUUGCCUAUCGCUUCCAAGGCAUGCUCUGCCUUUCUGUCUGCCACCACUGUUCCUGGACCAGGCAGAGACCAGCCCUCCCAGAGUUCUGUUAUCUUUGCCCCAAUGAGAAGACAGCAACAGCAAGGGACAGACCGGAGAACCAUUCAGUUGCUGCUACUAGAGUAGAAGUGGCUCUGCUGGACAGAGUGACUAGAGCAGCAGCAACUUCCAUCCGUCGCUGGCUAACCCUUCCAUCCAUUGCUGCUGAGGAGGCUAAGGGAAAAGAAUCAACUGAUUCUGCAACCUCAUACAUUAGUUCAUCAGUGAACUAAUCCCAUUAUCAAGAACGGAAACAAAACAAUGCACAUUAGAUCUGCACCACCAAAAAAUUAAAAAUGGUUUUACCAGAAGUCUUUUGUAGAUGCAAAGUAAUUUUCUGCAUCUUUUUAUACAUCUGAGUCAUUUCUUGCCACUUUAACCAUCAAUCAAAUGUGUGACAUGACAGAUCAAGCUAACUGUCAGUUGUGGAUCAGUACAACUGAAUGAUUAAUUAACACUUUUAAUUAAAGUCCUUUGCAGCAAUAUGGUUAAAUUAAACCUGAGGGAGAAAAUGGAAGCCUACCUGGGAAAUGUUAAAUCUUGCUAAGGUCAUCAAGUAAAUCCUUUUUUGCUUUACUUUUUUUUUCUUUAGCUAAUAAAUAACAAUGCAUACACAACAGGCACUGAUGGCUGUAAGAUGAUUGUGCAGGUAUGCAUUGAUAGAUGAUGG